rnacentral:rRNA from 1 species
GAUAAACGCUGGCGGCGUGCCUAACACAUGCAAGUCGAACGAUCCCGCAAGGGAGAGUGGCGGAAGGGUGAGUAACACGUGGGAAUCUACCUCCUCGCAGGGGAACAACCUCUCGAAAGAGAGGCUAAUACCCAAAAGGGUCAGAAAUGAUCAGAGUCGAAAGGCGUGAGGAGAGGAGCCCGCGGCCCCUCAGCUAGUUGGUGAGGUAAUGGCUUACCAAGGCUACGACGGGUAGGGGAUCUGAGAGGAUGUCCCCCACACUGGAACUGAAACACGGUCCAGACGCCUACGGUGGCAGCAGUGAGGAAUAUUGGACAAUGGGCGAAAGCCCGAUCCAGCAACGCCGCGUGGAGGAUGAAGGCCUUCGGGUCGUAAACUUCUUUAGAGGGAGACGAGAAAGGACGGUAUCCCUAGAAUAAGCGACGGCAAACUACGUGCCAGCAGCCG